rnacentral:sRNA from 1 species
UGUCAGUUCUGCGUGAGGGAUGGGAGCGGCAUCCUUUUUAUUGGGGUUGUUCUCAAAACAACCUCAAUAAAAAGAUAGAGCGGAUAGCCCGACCCUUG